GAGGGUGUAACUCAGUGGUAGAGCACGUGCUUAGCAUGCACAAGGUCCUGGGUUCAAUCCCCAGUACCUCCA
rnacentral:tRNA from 1 species